CUUGGAGACACAUCAUUGUGUUCUGUCACACCAACCAGGCUGCGCCAGAGACACAGAAAUCUUGAUCUUCUGGCAGAAAACUCUUCCAAAACAUUCCUAUGUGACACUGCUCAUGUAUAGGUGUUCCAAACCGAAUGUCCAGUUAUUUCCACCAUUGUGCAAAAACGGGAGACCCUGCCGAGCAGCAGAUGGCCCUCAGCAGGGCUGACACUCAGGCCAGGCCCCAGGUGGCAGCUCUCAGAACACACUGUCCAGCUAAACCCUGCACAGACUGGCCAUGGAAAAUACCUGGUGUUCACAUUCCCCAAAUUUGGGCAAAUGACAGGGUCACCCAGUGCACUUCAUGGGGUCAGUGGGGAGAACCAGCAUUUCAGCACAAGUUCACAAAUCACUGGGUCCCCCUUGUCAAACACUGCAAAUAUGCAGCAUGCUAAGAAAAAUCUCCUUAUCUCUCAGACUCUGUAUCACUCGGCUCAUCUGAGUUGCUACAAUGGACAAUAAAAUCUAAUAAGUUAAAAUGAGGUAUGGAAUGCUCAGGAGAAAAACAACAAGGACUAGUACUCUUCAUCUGAGUAAAUAAUUUCUCUCACAGGGUUAAUGUUAGCUUUGCAAAUUUUUUAUUUGAGAUUAUAUUUUAAAUCAUAAUUUGUGCAUGUGUGAUUUAAAAUAAAAAAGGCAAUCAACUAGUCUUUCUGCCAGUCUAGGUGAUGUGAAAUUUAAUUAUCGAGGAGUUAUCAUUAAAACAAAUGCAAAGCAAUUUUUUUACACAUAAUUGAAUAUUCCAGAAGAAAAUUUCUGAAAAAUCCAAAGGUCCAAAAGAAAACUUCUCAGUGAGAAUGUCUGUUUCAAUAAGAUACCCUAUUUUGUAGUAUUGGAUGCAGAGAAUUUCUAGUUAGACAUACAUAAGUCUUGCCAGAAUUACUAUAGUUCAGUUUUGCCACCUGCAUCUAGGAAUAUGGAAGACUUAUCUAUGUUACUGGUUAUGACUCCCCAAUAAUGAGUAAUGAAAAUUCCUAUUUAUCAUUUCUACAUCAACAUCAGUGUGAUAGCAGAAAACAGCAUGACUUACCUGGCCCACAUUACUGUUGUAUAGAAUCUAAAGAAAUAAAUACCUCAAUCCAUUCAGGAAUGUUCUUUUCCCAA